CUGGCGGCGUGCCUAACACAUGCAAGUCGAACGAGAAAGUGGAGCAAUCCAUGAGUAAAGUGGCGACCGGGUGAGUAACACGUGACUAACCUGCCUUCGAGUGGGGGAUAACCUCGGGAAACCGGGGCUAAUACCGCAUAAUGCCGAAAGGUUAAAGGAGCAAUUCGCUUGAAGAGGGGGUCGCGGCUGAUUAGCUAGUUGGCGGGGUAACGGCCCACCAAGGCGAUGAUCGGUAGCCGGCCUGAGAGGGCGCACGGCCACACUGGAACUGAAACACGGUCCAGACUCCUACGGGAGGCAGCAGUGGGGAAUUUUGCGCAAUGGGGGAAACCCUGACGCAGCAACGCCGCGUGGAGGAUGAAGUCCUUUGGGACGUAAACUCCUUUCGACCGGGACGAUUAUGACGGUACCGGUGGAAGAAGCCCCGGCUAACUUCGUGCCAGCAGCCGCGGUAAUACGAGGGGGGCAAGCGUUGUUCGGAAUUAUUGGGCGUAAAGGGCGCGUAGGCGGUGCGGUAAGUCACCUGUGAAACCUCUGGGCUUAACUCAGAGC
rnacentral:rRNA from 1 species